AGUCAUCCUCAGUUCGGACUGGGGUCUGCAACCCGACCCCACGAAGCUGGAUUCGCUAGUAAUCGCGCAUCAGCCAUGGCGCGGUGAAUACGUUCCCGGGCCUUGUACACACCGCCCGUCAAGCCAUGAAAGCCGGGGGGCGCCUGAAGUCCGUGACCGCGAGGGUCGGCCUAGGGUGAAACCGGUGAUUGGGGCUAAGUCGUAACAAGGUAGC
rnacentral:rRNA from 1 species